rnacentral:rRNA from 1 species
GAUUAAGUUAUUAAGGGCGCACGGUGGAUGCCUUGGCACUAGAAGCCGAUGAAGGACGUUACUAACGACGAUAUGCUUUGGGGAGCUGUAAGUAAGCUUUGAUCCAGAGAUUUCCGAAUGGGGAAACCCAGCAUGAGUUAUGUCAUGUUAUCGAUAUGUGAAUACAUAGCAUAUCAGAAGGCACACCCGGAGAACUGAAACAUCUUAGUACCCGGAGGAAGAGAAAGAAAAUUCGAUUCUCUUAGUAGCGGCGAGCGAAACGGGAAGAGCCCAAACCAACAAGCUUGCUUGUUGGGGUUGUAGGACACUCUAUACGGAGUUACAAAGGACGACAUUAGACGAAUCAUCUGGAAAGAUGAAUCAAAGAAGGUAAUAAUCCUGUAGUCGAAAAUGUUGUCUCUCUUGAGUGGAUCCUGAGUACGACGGAGCACGUGAAAUUCCGUCGGAAUCUGGGAGGACCAUCUCCUAAGGCUAAAUACUCUCUAGUGACCGAUAGUGAACCAGUACCGUGAGGGAAAGGUGAAAAGCACCCCGGAAGGGGAGUGAAAUAGAACCUGAAACCGUGUGCUUACAAGUAGUCAGAGCCCAUUAAUGGGUGAUGGCGUGCCUUUUGUAGAAUGAACCGGCGAGUUACGAUUUGAUGCAAGGUUAAGCAGUAAAUGUGGAGCCGUAGCGAAAGCGAGUCUGAAUAGGGCGUUUAGUAUU